CCUACGGGAGGCAGCAGUGAGGAAUAUUGGUCAAUGGUCGGGAGACUGAACCAGCCAAGCCGCGUGAGGGAGGAAGGUACAGAGUAUCGUAAACCUCUUUUGUCAGGGAACAAAGGCGGGGACGUGUCCCCGGAUGAGUGUACCUGAAGAAAAAGCAUCGGCUAACUCCGUGCCAGCAGCCGCGGUAAUACGGAGGAUGCGAGCGUUAUCCGGUGUUAUGGGGUUGAAAGGGUGCGCAGGCGGUCUGUUAAGUCAGCGGUCAAAGCCCGGGGCUCAACCCCGGCCCGCCGUUGAAACUGGCAGUCUCGAGUUGGAGAGAAGGAUGCGGAAUGCGCGGUGUAGCGGUGAAAUGCAUAGAUAUCGCGCAGAACUCCGAUUGCGAAGGCAGCAUGCCGGCUCCACACUGACGCUGAGGCACGAAAGCGUGGGUAUCGAACAGGAUUAGAUACCCCUGUAGUC
rnacentral:rRNA from 1 species